AACGAACGCUGGCGGCAUGCCUAACACAUGCAAGUCGAACGAGACCUUCGGGUCUAGUGGCGCACGGGUGCGUACCGCGUGGGAACCUGCCCUUAGGUUCGGAAUAACUCCCCGAAAGGGGUGCUAAUACCGGAUAAUGUCUUCGGACCAAAGAUUUAUCGCCUUGGGAUGGGCCCGCGUUGGAUUAGCUAGUUGGUAGGGUAAAAGCCUACCAAGGCGACGAUCCAUAGCUGGUCGGAGAGGAUGACCAGCCACACUGGGACUGAGACACGGCCCAGACUGCGACGGGAGGCAGCAGUGGGGAAUAUUGGAGAAUGGGGGAAAGCCUGAUCCAGCAAUGCCGCGGGAGUGAUGAAGGCCGUAGGGUUGUAAAGCUCUUUUACCCGGGAUGAUAAUGACAGUACCGGGAGAAUAAGCACCGGCUAACUCCGUG
rnacentral:rRNA from 1 species